CCUACGGGAGGCAGCAGUGGGGAAUAUUGGACAAUGGGCGAAAGCCUGAUCCAGCCAUGCCGCGUGUGUGAAGAAGGUCUUCGGAUUGUAAAGCACUUUAAGUUGGGAGGAAGGGCUGUCGGCUAAUACCCUGCAGUUUUGACGUUACCAACAGAAUAAGCACCGGCUAACUUCGUG
rnacentral:rRNA from 1 species